AUAAUUAAAAACAUAGAAAAGGUACAGUAAAAAUAUAGAAUUACAAUCUUAUGGGACCACUGUCCUAUGUGCAGCCUAUUGUUGAUUGAAAUGUCACUACUGGACACAUGACUGUGUUGUCUAAUUUGUAUAUUUGUUCCUAGCCUGUGUCUCCCCUCCAGAGUGUAGGUCCCUGAGGGCAGUCACCUGAUCUGUCUCAGUCACUGCAGUGUCCCCAAACAGAGCACCGCCUCAGGCACACAGAGGGCAGUGGUGAGGACUAAAGGAGGCGAUGAGAAGAGAGUCCCCACAAGGAGUCUGGCACAGAGGAAGUUUCGACGUAUGCUGUCCAUUGCAACUUCGACUUAUGCUGCGUUUCUGUGUCGGAACAGUGGAAGACAUUCAACAAGCACUUUGUCUCAGAGGCUUAGUUACAAUUAAUUGAGCCUGAAAGACCAUAGACUUGAAAAAGCCCUCAAAGUGAUAAAGGUAAAAAGAAAAAUAAAAUGACAUCUAGCAGGCACUGAGGGCUCUACAACGUGUGGCUAGCCUGUAUUCAGCACCCUACAGUGUGCAGCCAGGCUGUGCUCAGCAUCCUACAGUGUGCAGCCAGGCUGUGCUCAGUACUCUACAGUGAGUAGCCAGCCUGUGCUCAGCACUCCGCAGUGAGUGGCCAGCCUGUGCUCAGCACUCUACAGUAUGUGGCCAAACUGUGCUCAGCACUCCACAGUGAGUGGCCAGCCUGUGGUCAGGACUCUACAGUGAGUGGCCAGUCUAUACUCUGCACUCUACAGUGAGUGGCCAGCCUGUACACAGCACUCCACAGUCGUCAUCUUUUCAUCAUAAAUCUAAUGGCCACUUAAUGAGGUAGACCUGUCCCAUGACUUGAACUGAUUUCAAAAACUCAAAACUCAUACUCUCUUGCAUUUGGCAACCAAAACACAACCCACUUCCUGGGACCUUCUGACAGCCAGGCCACGUUGAGCAAACACCGAGCCCUCUUCAGAGUUGGUCAGCAGCCAGGUCAGCAGCGACUGGCAAGGCGACUGCUUGCCAGGUCUCCUCCAGCAUGAGCUUGGGAUGGAGCUGAAUCCCUUUCAUGCACAAGCAGAAUUUGAAAAGGUGCGGGGCCACACUAGUACCUCUGCGUCUCCUGCCAGAGCCCACCAGCUUAUUUUGCUUCUUCAGAGUCUGUAAAGCAUCCUUCUGGAUGACGAAUGCCUUCCGAGGCUCCAGCCCACCAAGCCUUCCUCUAAGUUUCAGAUGCAGAGGCCACCUCGGAGAACUGUGAUUGUCUCCCUGCAUCUCCCCAGUGCCCCCGGAUGAGUGCCACCCUCCUCACCUGCUAUCACAAAGACAAGAAAGGCCAUUCAUAAUUUAAGUCAGCCCUUUCUUUCCUGCACGCCACCAACAUGAGUCAGAUGCUGGAGGAAAAAUUGAACUCUUUCUCCCAGGAUACACCAAAGAUCAAGCAGAAUCUCAUUAAGGCUCA
rnacentral:lncRNA from 1 species